rnacentral:lncRNA from 1 species
UGGGCUAUUAUAAGUUUGUACAAAUCUUCUAAAAACAGGGAUAGCAUUUCUUCUAUAAUGAAACCAUUAUCCAAAACCCAUCUACAAAAACAGCAAAAUAUUCUUUAUUGAAGAAAAAUAAAUCUAGUCCUAGCAGAAGAACCACACAUGACAUGGCUCUGAGAAAUCACAGGUGAAAAACAAAUCAAAUGAAACCGACUCAAAUGGGGAACAAGAAACAACAGGCAUGUACUGGUAUAUAAUAUAUAGAUAUCUACAGUGCAGAAUACAUCCAAAUCAAGUAGUGUUGCAGAAAAAUAAAAUAAUAAAACAUUUCAGCUAACUUUCCCCAUAUUUCCAGGUUCUCCAGGAAUCCUGGUUGGAAGAUGCUCGAUUUCUUCUUGUUCCCUCCAACCUGGAUUUCUGGAGAAUUUGGGAAAAAGUUACUGGAAUUUUGCUACACUAAAUCAUACACAAUUCCAACAGAUACAGGAAUGUUAUGGUCAGGAGAAGGGACAUAACAAUAAUGUGAUUGAUGAUUUUGUAAUGUUUCAUAACCAAGGGAAACAAGGGUUUGGACCAUGGAAAUAAACAACACUCUAGAUAUGUAGAGUGUACCAAUAUGUAUACUGAACAAAAAUAUAAAACGCAACAUGUAAAGUAUUGCUCCCAUGAGCUGAAAUAAAAGAUCCCAGAAAUGUUCCAUACGCACAAAAACCUUUCUCUAAUUUUGUGCACUAAUUUGUUUACAUCCCUGUUAGUGAGCAUUUCUCAUUUGCCAAGGUAAUCCAUUCAACUGACAGGUGUGGCAUAUCAAGAAGCUGAUUAAACAGCAUGAUCAUUACACAUGUGCACCUUGUGCUGGGGACAAUAAAAGGCCACUGUAAAAGUGUGCGGUUUAUCACACAACACAAUGCCACAGAUGUCUCAAGUUGAGGGAGUGUGCAAUUGCCAUGCUGACUGCAGUAAUGUCCACCAGAGCUGUUGCCAGAGAAUGUAAUGUUAAUAUCGCUACCAUAACGUCAUUGUUUACAUGUUGCGUUUAUAUUUUUGUUCAGUUGUGUCACAAUAGAGGAAUAUUUUACAUUCAAACAGAAAUUAGGAGAAUGAAUUAAUGUUCGUCUUUCAUCAAGGCCAUUGGAGAAACAGGACAAGUGAUCAAAUAGAGAGGCGAAACAGAAAGGUGGGGGAGAAAAAUAAGUGAUAUUAACAGGAAGUCACCAAGUGCCUGAAUUUAAGCCUCAGUCAGAUAAAUAACAACGUGAUAUAGUGAAAGCCUCGUCUGUAAUGCAGUAGCUGGAAUCAUACCGGCAUAGCAGACUUUACAAAUCAGGAUUAUAAAUAACAUACAUUGUGUAUACAUUUACACAUGUAAACAUUCUCCACCCUACUCUGACCACCUGACAGGCCACGGCAUAUUUCUGGUUUGAUACAGCAUGCGUGGACGACAUCCUGUUACUCUUUUUGGUUUGACUUGUGCUGAGAGCUACAGUAAGUCCCAAUGAACGCCAAGGAAACUGGAACUCACAGGACAUAAGUCGUGAGAGCUGCUUGCAUAUUUGUUUUUCCUAGGGAGGUUUUUACCGCAGUCACAAAGUCAAUUGUCUAUAUUAUAAAAAUGUUAUUUUUGGUGUUAAUUUAAGGCUAGGCAUAAGGUUAGCAGUGUGGUUAAGGCUAGGCAUAAGGUUAGCAGUGUGGUUAAGGCUAGGCAUAAGGUCAGCAGUGUGGUUAAGGCUAGGCAUAAGGUCAGCAGUGUGGUUAAGGCUAGGCAUAAGGUUAGCAGUGUGGUUAAGGUUAGGCAUAAGGUUAGCAGUGUGGUUAAGGCUAGCAGUGUGGUUAAGGCUAGGCAUAAGGUUAGCAGUGUGGUUAAGGUUAGGCAUAAGCUUAGCAGUGUGGUUAAGGUUAGGCAUAAGGUCAGCAGUGUGGUUAAGGUUAGGCAUAAGGUUAGCAGUGUGGUUAAGGUUAGGCAUAAGGUUAGCAGUGUGGUUAAGGUUAGGUUUAAAAUAACAUUUUAGGAAAAUGAAUUGAAGAAAUGGGCAGGGUUUACGACUUCACGGCUGGGGUAACUAGUAUCUCGCCCCAAAAUCUCAUAGGAAAAACUCAUUUGCGAGCUUCUUAGCUUACACUUCUGGGGCGUGUUCAUUAGGGUACACCAUUGAUAAUAGCUUUGAAAACUUUUGUAACGUAAACAUAAAUUGUUUGUUAUUGGACCAGUACAGUUCAGAGAACACUCGGCACCAUUAGGCUGUACCAGGUCUGCAGCCCUGUUAUAUUUUCUACAAAAUGCCUCUAUACCUUCCUUCCUUCCUAAUUGUUCUGAUUUUACAUGGUCUGUUGACUGAUGUGAUGGAGAGAAAACAACCACAUGACAGACCAGAUAGAAAUCAAGAAAGGACUGAAGGAUGAAUUCAACAGGAUCUGUCUUCAGGGUAACCAGAGGAAUACGGCCCUGUACACUGACCCAGGCAAACAGGAUCUGUCUUCAGGGUAACCAGAGGAAUAUGGCCCUGUACACUGACCCAGGCAAACAGGAUCUGUCUUCAGGGUAACCAGAGGAAUACGGCCCUGUACACUGACCCAGGCAAACAGGAUCUGUCUUCAGGGUAACCAGAGGAAUACGGCCCUGUACAGUGACCCAGGCAAACAGGAUCUGUCUUCAGGGUAACCAGAGGAAUAUGGCCCUGUACACUGACCCAGGCAAACAGGGGAGUCAUUUCAUUGGUUCCUUUUCGCCAGCAGAAUCAUGAUAAACCGGGGAAAGAUUGGUUUUGCUGCAAGCGUUGUACAUAAAAACGGUUGAACAGAUUCAGCAUAUUCAAUAAAACAGCACCAACUCUUUUAUUGUACACAUCGGACAGUCUAACAGAAGUUGUUUUUGGAGACUGACUUCCGCCCUCUUUGAAGCAGAGGCCCUGCCCUCACUGUUUCCUGCCCACUUCCUGGUUACGUCAAUAGAACCCCAGGGCCACGUUCAGCAGCCAAAAUUUUGCAAAUAGAAACACCAGAAAUAGAGCCAACAUGAUUCCUUAUUCUACAGGUCAGAGAGGCAUGUUUGUUCUACAUAGCAUAUUUCUAUCUGAACGUUCCCCAACAUUGCGUCUUGCUGAACGCGCACCCCCAGGGGGAAUGGAUCAUUAUCACUGUGGCAGAUGAAUUGUAAACAACAAGGCUGCGUUCAGCAGCGCACACUGUUGUGGAAUGUUAAGAUAUGUUUUUUGUAGAACUAACAUGCCUCUGACCUGCAGGAUAAGGAAUCAAAGCUCUCUUCAUGAUAUUUAUGUCUGCAACGCUCCACAACGUUUGGUUUGCAUACUGAAUGAGACAAUGACCCGUCUACCCGGCACAACGCCCCUCUACGUACAGCCCGUCUUCCCGGCACAACGCCCCUCUACGUACAGCCCGUCUUCCCGGCACAACGCCCCUC